GGUAGGGUGGCUGAGCAUAGGCGUGGGGCUGUAAACCCCAAUACGGAGAUAACUUCCCCUACCA
rnacentral:tRNA from 1 species